GGUGCGCGCGCGCCGCAGCUCUCGGCGCCGCUCGGCGGUCCGUGACCUUGACCGGAGCUGACCUCCGCGACUGGGUGCGGUAUCAUCGAGUGCACAGAUACUUGAUGUGAGCAUGACGCUCAGCGAGGUGCUGCAAGACGUCGCCCAAGGACUGGGAGGACUGGCUUCGUGGACGUUCGAGAAGUUCUGGGAAGCAUGGCACUUCUUCUGGAUUUGGCUGGGUUUUCAAAAGCCAGCGCUGGCCGGGCCCGACCGGCGCGAGCUGCUGGAGUGGGUGCGGCUGCACCUGCCGACCGCGCCGCCAGCCAACUUCGGC